GCAGGCCUCCUCACUGAGCAGGAAGCCUGGUGCAGGACUUGAUCCCAGGAUCCUGGGAUCGUGACCUGAACAGAAGGAAGACACUUAACUGACGGAGCCACCCUUUUCAAUGGCCUUUUCAAAGCAGGCAGGAUGACAGGAACACGGAACCUGAACCCAGUGCUUUCUAAGAGUGACGGAACAAUCAGCUGUCUUUUAAGAAACCUCCAACUGCCGUUCAAGAAAGGACGCCUUUGAUGAAGAGGAUUCUUACUAGGUCCAGCUGAAGGCACGAAAGGUCCAAUUGUACCAGCAGUUGUCAAACUUAAAUGUGCAUCAGAAUCCCUUUACAGAUUUCUUGGUUUAGUAAACCAUCAGCUUUCAAGGGAUGCUUCUCUGAGAACACUGUGCCCAUGACCAUCGCUCAAGUCAUUUUCUGGAUCAAAAGUAAUGAGGCAGUGACAGGCUUUAAUUGGCUUUUGCUUCUCAACGACUACAAUGUCACCCACCAAAGAGGAAUUACUUCUCUACUUAAACAUCAAAGCUAGAAAUAAGGCGGUCAGAAAAUAGAUAAGUGUGGGAUGACUUCUGAUUUUUAUUCCUAUUUUUUUUUUUUUUUUUGCUCCUAUUUUAUUUUUAUAUAAUUAAAAAAAUCUCUAAAUGCUGCUGGGUUAUUUUAUGAACAUAUCAUUUAUUCGAUGAAGUUCAGAACUCCGUUUUCAAGAUCGAGGGUAUAACCAAGAAUAUUCUGGAAGUGAUUUUUCUUUAAGCUUUAUGCCCAAAGUGGGCGAUUGACCUCAUCACCCCAAGAUCAAGAGUUGUUGAGCUUGAGCCAGUCAGACAUCCCUGGAAGAGAUUUUGCUUAAAAAAUUCUUAAUUUUUAAAUACUACAUGUGGUGUAAAAUACAGCUAAAAGUCCUCUUCUUUUCCUGCCGUCCUGUUGUGAUCCUGAGUCACUCCCCUAGACGCAAAUCCAUUAUGUACAUGUUUUUCAGUCUAAUAUUUAUCUUCUAUUUUGGGUAACCAUGAGUAAGCUAGCAUGAUUUAGAAAAAAAAAAUGAGGGUAUUCUUUGGGAUUUACCAAUUAUUUUAGCUAAAAUACACUGUGAUUACAGAAGACAAACACUGGAUUUCCUUAGCAUUCUAUGGUCAAAUUUGAGCAAAAUCAAAAUUGUAUUGUUUUUUCACAUGUAUGAAAACACUUUCCUAUCUCAACAGCAUAGUCUGAGCAUUAUUUGGGGGAUGAAAAUGAGGCUCACAGGGACUUAUAUCCAGGUUCUAUAAAGAACUCUUAGAACAAUAAAAGGACAAAUCACCCAAUUAAAAAAUGAGUAAAGGAUCUGGAGAGUCCUGCAAAGAAGAACUACAAAUGGCCAGUAAGUGUAUGAAAAGAUGCUAAACAUCAUUCAUCCUAAGGGGAACUCAAAUAAGAACUCUGGGGAGCUACCCCUUCUCACCCCCCGAGCUGCUGUCAUAAAGACAGGCGAGGGAAGGAGCUGGAGAGGACCCGAUGAAGACUGGAGAAGGGGGCAACGGCUUUGGGAAACGGUUUGGUGGAUCCUUAAAACUACGAAUCCCAGCAAUUCUAUUCCUGGGUGUAGAUCCAAGAAAAAUGAAGACCUGUGCCUGCACCGAAGCUUGCCCACGAAUGCUCCCAGUCGCAUCCUUCAGAAUAGUCCCAUAGUGUUAAUAACCCAACUGUCCACUAGUUGGUGAAUGGAGAAAAAACAUUCCAGUUGACCUGGCAACACUCAGAACUGGACUCUGAGCUUCCAUGCUGCGGGGUGAACAGACCAUGUGUGCAGGUGCGUGGAAGCCCGGGGAACUGUCUACGGUGUCACAGGACCAGCGGGUGUGGCACAGGUAUGGGACCUCCCUCCAGGGCACCCACCGCUCUCUGGCCUCUUCUGUUUAUGUCCUCUCUCCCUGUCCCCACCCACGCCCCCUUGGAUUUGUCCCCCCAGCACAUCUGCUUCACAGAUGAGGGAUCUGAAGACCAGGCAGGGAGGCGCAGGGACUUGCCCAAGGUCACACAGCCGUUGAGUAGAGUUUAGGAUCUGAAUCCUGUUUUCCAAUCAAGUACUUUCUAGGGCCAGCUAGCGGACAUUUGAGAAAUCUGACACUGUAGAAACUGAGGCAGCAAAGGCGGAGGGGCCUAGGAACUCGUAAAUAAUCCCCAGAUCCAGCAAAAACGAAGGCAGUAGACCAUGCUGGAUGUGGCUGCCUAGAUCUCGGCUUGAGGAGAGUAAGGAUGGCCAGAACGGUUUGGGGAAAACUAGGCAGAAUAUGCUUUACAAAUAUUUUUCUUCCUUAAAAAGUUAAAAAUAGAAUUACCCUGUGAUCCAGCAAUCCCAUUUCUGGGUAUAUACCCCCAAAGAAGAAAAACAGUCUGAGCUAUUUGUUUACCCAAACUGUUGGUCUCCCCCCACCCCUCAAGCCCCAUUCA